GACGAACGCUGGCGGCGUGCUUAACACAUGCAAGUCGAACGGUGAAGGGACCGGUUUUUGCUGGUUCUGGCUGAGUGGCGAACGGGUGAGUAACACGUGAGUAACCUGCCCCCUUCUUCUGGAUAACCGCAUGAAAGUGUGGCUAAUACGGGAUAUUCUGCGCCUGCUGCAUGGUGGGUGUGGGAAAGAUAUUGGUUCGGUGGGGGAUGGGCUCGCGGCCUAUCAGCUUGUUGGUGGGGUGAUGGCCUACCAAGGCGGUGACGGGUAGCCGGCCUGAGAGGGUGGGCGGUCACACUGGGACUGAGACACGGCCCAGACUCCUACGGGAGGCAGCAGUGGGGAAUAUUGCACAAUGGGCGCAAGCCUGAUGCAGCGACGCCGCGUGAGGGAUGGAGGCCUUCGGGUUGUAAACCUCUUUCGCCAGUGAAGCAGGCCUGUCCCUUUUGUGGGUGGGUUGACGGUAGCUGGAGAAGAAGCGCCGGCUAACUACGUG
rnacentral:rRNA from 1 species